GAGUUUGAUCCUGGCUCAGAAUGAACGUUGGCGGCGUGGAUUAGGCAUGCAAGUCGAGCGAGAAGCUCAAGAAAGAUACUUCGGUUGAUUUCUUGAGUGGACAGCGGCGAAAGGGAGAGUAACGAGUAGAUUACGUACCCAGGGGUUCGGGAUAGCUGCGGGAAACUGCAGGUAAUACCGAAUAAUGUCUCCGGACCAAAAAUUUAUUGCCCUUGGAUCGGUCUGCUUACUAUUAGCUAGUUGGUGGGGUAAUAGCCUACCAAGGCAAAGAUGGUUAUCGGUUGUGAGAGCAUGGCCCGUCUCACUGGGACUGAGACACUGCCCAGACACCUAC
rnacentral:rRNA from 1 species